GCCUCCGUAGCUCAGCGGAAGAGCAACGGCCUUCUAAUCCGUUGGUCGCAGGUUCGAAUCCUGCCGGGGGCACCA
rnacentral:tRNA from 1 species